rnacentral:rRNA from 1 species
UGCCAGCAGCCGCGGUAAUACGGAGGGUGCAAGCGUUAAUCGGAAUUACUGGGCGUAAAGCGAGUGUAGGCGGUUACAUAAGUCGGAUGUGAAAGCCCCGGGCUCAACCUGGGAAUGGCAUUCGAUACUGUGUGACUAGAGUUUGGUAGAGGUAAGUGGAAUUCCGGGUGUAGCGGUGAAAUGCGUAGAGAUCCGGAGGAACAUCAGUGGCGAAGGCGGCUUACUGGACCAAAACUGACGCUGAGGCUCGAAAGCGUGGGGAGCAAACAGGAUUAGAUA